UACGUAGGGGGCAAGCGUUGUCCGGAUUUAUUGGGCGUAAAGAGCGUGUAGGCGGCCAGAUAGGUCAGUUGUGAAAACUGGAGGCUUAACCUCCAGCUGUCGAUGGAAACCAUCUGGCUAGAGUCCGGAAGAGGAGAGUGGAAUUCCUGGUGUAGCGGUGAAAUGCGCAGAUAUCAGGAAGAACACCCGUGGCGAAGGCGGCUCUCUGGGACGGUACUGACGCUGAGACGCGAAAGCGUGGGGAGCGAACAGG
rnacentral:rRNA from 1 species